rnacentral:rRNA from 1 species
CAUACAACCCUGAAUGCGCCUGAGCUUGCCUGAUCUUGGAAGCUAAGCAGGGUCGGGCCUGGUUAGUACUUGGAGUCAGGUC